rnacentral:lncRNA from 1 species
AGUGCAGUUGAAGAUUUUCCCAUUUGUUUGCUGGAAUCUUCCUUCUCACUCCAAGUCUUCUUAUUUUCAGGAGGUGUCACCUUCUAUGUAAUAUCACUUGGAUACUGAAACUUCUCCAUGAACUGGAAGAAUGUAUGCUUCAGUGUGAAAUAGAAGAAAGAAGCUUACAAUGUCCACCCAAUUUACUAAGAAACAGACGAGUUUUGGAGGUUUAGAAUGAUGUGGUUUGGACCAAAAGAUAUGAUUGGUAAGUGUCACAAAAGUGCCAUGUAAAUCUGGAAGAUGGUACUUUUGCAGAUGCCUGAAAUAGUCCCAGCCCAGCAAACCCAGUUGAUAAUGAGUAUCUUUUGUCAACAGAGGAGGCCUCCUGAAACUAAUUCAUAAAAAUAGUUAACAGUGGACCAAGUGCUUUCAACCACAGGAUGUUGAGGAUUUUUCACUAUAGCCUGAACUUUUAGAAAUAACAUUUGUCAAUGUUGUUUUUAUAAGAUGAUUGAUUAUUUUAGUUAGCAAGAACUUAACAAACACCUACACUAGAUGGAUCAGUAACACAAACAUGAAAACAGGCUUAGUUUUGGGUAUGAGGCACACCCAGAUUCAAAUGGCUUCUAGGGAGCACACUUGGUUGUUGGUUUGAAAGUUAAUCCAACACAAAAAUAUCUUUCUGAACAAAAUUUCUGUACAUAAGAAAAAAUAUAAACCCAGAAUUAUAGCAAUGGAAACACAAAUUUCAGUUUCUACAAAAAUAGUUUUUUAAAGAUCAUAGAAGAUGAAAAAAUUAAAAAGGAAACAUACUGGCAUAUUGGAAUUGUAUGGCUAAUUUUUCUCAUUUUAUAUUUAAAGAAACUUAGGCUCAGGUAGGGAAGGGACUUUUUUGAAGUAACAGAGUAAAAAAUUUCAUAAAAUUCCAACUUUUUAACUCCAAGUCUAGUAUGUUGCUCCUUUCUCUCCUAAUCUUCAUUGUUUUCCUAUUGCCUUCCUGCUACUGGUAACAGUUUUGAGUUUUUUUGUACUGAGGCACUGACGAGGCCAGGAGAAAGUGCACAGGAAGUCAUCAUUUGCCUGCACAUAAGCAACCAGGCUUUUUAUUCCCUCAGUUGAAAAUGCAGGCUGUUUUUUAGUUGGGUGACAUAGCAAUUAAAACAUUCUAUAUGACUAAACAUUCUGGUCACCUCUA